CCUACGGGGGGCUGCAGUGGGGAAUAUUGGACAAUGGGGGGAACCCUGAUCCAGCCAUGCCGCGUGUGUGAAGAAGGCCCUCGGGUUGUAAAGCACUUUCAGUGAGGAAGAACGCCUGGUGGUUAAUACCCAUCAGGAAAGACAUCACUCACAGAAGAAGCACCGGCUAACUCCGUGCCAGCAGCCGCGGUAAUACGGAGGGUGCGAGCGUUAAUCGGAAUUACUGGGCGUAAAGCGCGCGUAGGUGGCUUGAUAAGCCGGUUGUGAAAGCCCCGGGCUCAACCUGGGAACGGCAUCCGGAACUGUCAAGCUAGAGUGCAGGAGAGGAAGGUAGAAUUCCCGGUGUAGCGGUGAAAUGCGUAGAGAUCGGGAGGAAUACCAGUGGCGAAGGCGGCCUUCUGGACUGACACUGACACUGAGGUGCGAAAGCGUGGAUAGCAAACAGGAUUAGAUACCCUUGUAGUC
rnacentral:rRNA from 1 species